rnacentral:rRNA from 1 species
ACGCUCGACACCUACGGGAAGCAGCAGUGGGGAAUAUUGCACAAUGGGGGAAACCCUGAUGCAGCAACGCCGCGUGAAGGAAGACGGUUUUCGGAUUGUAAACUUCUGUUCUUAGUGAAGAUAGUGACGGUAGCUAAGGAGCAAGCCACGGCUAACUACGUUCACGCAGCCGCGGUAAUCUGAGCGGGCGUGGCAAGGC